UUUCAAAAACAGGGUGCGUCGCGGCCCCCCUCCGGGGGCGGUUUGGGGUCCUCCCCUUCACGCGCGCACGACUGCAUCCUUACUUUACGAGCACCUUCUGUUCUCCCUCGGCGGGGCAACCUGCCGUUGGAACCGAAUAAACCCUUUUUUGCAUCCAGCAUUACCCGUUCCGAAACAAACAAUCGUUACAACUUUCAACAAUGGAUCUCUUGGCUCUGGCAUCGAUGAAGAACGCAGCGAAAUGCGAUAAGUAGUGUGAAUUGCAGAAUUCAGUGAAUCAUCGAAUCUUUGAACGCACAUUGCGCCCCUUGGUAUUCCGGGGGGCAUGCCUGUUCGAGCGUCAUCUACACCCUCAAGCUCUGCUUGGUGUUGGGCGUCUGUCCCGCCUCAGCGCGCGGACUCGCCCCAAAUCCAUUGGCAGCGGUCCUUGCCUCCUCUCGCGCAGCACAUUGCGCUUCUCGAGGGGCUCCGGCCCGCGUCCAACAAGAAAACAUUACCGUCUUUGACCUCGGAUCAGGUAGGGAUACCCGCUGAACUUAAGCAUAUCAAUAAGCGGAGGAAAAGAAAGCAACAGCGAUAGCCUCAGUAACGGCGAGUGAAGCGGCUACAGCUCAAAUUUGAAAUCUGGCCUCCUUUGGUGGUCCGAGUUGUAAUUUGCAGAGGAUGCUUUGGCAUUGGCGGCGGUCUAAGUUCCUUGGAACAGGACAUCGCAGAGGGUGAGAAUCCCGUACGUGGGCGCCUGCCUUUGCCGUGUAAAGCUCCUUCGACGAGUCGAGUUGUUUGGGAAUGCAGCUCUAAAUGGGAGGUAAAUUUCUCCUAAAGCUAAAUACCGGCCAGAGACCGAUAGCGCACAAGUAGAGUGAUCGAAAGAUGAAAAGUACUUUGGAAAGAGAGUCAAAUAGCACGUGAAAUUGUUGAAAGGGAAGCGCUUGCAGCCAGACUUGCCCGCAGUUGCUCACCCAGGCUCUCGCCUGGGGCACUCUUCUGCGGGCAGGCCAGCAUCAGUUUGGGCGGUCGGAUAAAGGCUCCUGUCAUGUACCACCCCUCGGGGUGGCCUUAUAGGGGGGGCGUAAUGCGACCAGCCCGGA
rnacentral:rRNA from 1 species